AGUAGGGAAUAUUGGUCAAUGGACGAGAGUCUGAACCAGCCAUGCCGCGUGCAGGAAGAAGGCCCUCUGGGUUGUAAACUGCUUUUGAUAGGGGCCAAAAUACUCAUGCGUGAGGAAUUGAGAGUACCUAUAGAAUAAGCACCGGCUAACUCCGUGCCAGCAGCCGCGGUAAUACGGAGGGUGCAAGCGUUGUCCGGAUUUAUUGGGUUUAAAGGGUGCGUAGGUGGCCUUAUAAGUCAGUGGUGAAAGUCUGCAGCUUAACUGUAGAACUGCCAUUGAUACUGUAGGGCUUGAGUACUGAUGAGGUAGGCGGAAUUGAUAGUGUAGCGGUGAAAUGCAUAGAUAUUAUCAAGAACACCGAUUGCGAAGGCAGCUUACUAAGGAGUUACUGACACUGAGGCACGAAAGCGUGGGGAUCAAA
rnacentral:rRNA from 1 species